GACGAACGCUGGCGGCGUGCUUAACACAUGCAAGUCGAACGAAGUAGCAAUACUUAGUGGCGAACGGGUGCGUAACACGUGACUAACUUGCCCUAGACUGUGGAAUAACGGAGGGAAACUUCCGCUAAUACCGCAUGUUGAGCUUUGGUGGCAUCACCGGGGCUUGAAAGAUUUAUCGGUCUAGGAUAGGGUCGCGGCCUAUUAGCUUGUUGGUGAGGUAAUGGCUCACCAAGGCAACGAUGGGUAGCUGGUCUGAGAGGAUGAUCAGCCACACUGGGACUGAGAUACGGCCCAGGACUCCUACGGGAGGCAGCAGUGAGGAAUAUUGCGCAAUGGGCGAAAGCCUGACGCAGCAACGCCGCGUGAAGGAUGAAGGUGCUCUGCAUUGUAAACUUCUGUAGGGAGGGAAGAAUGACCUGCUAUUGGCGGGUUUGACGGUACCUCCGAAAGUAAGCACCGGCUAAUUCCGUGCCAGCAGCCGCGGUAAAGUGACG
rnacentral:rRNA from 1 species